GUGCUCUCCUCGGCAGCACAUGUAACAAAAUUAGAACAUUACAGAGAAGAUUAGCACGGUCCCUGUCCAAGGAUGACAUGUAAAUUUGUGAAGCGUUCCAUAAUUUU
ensembl:snRNA U6 U6 spliceosomal RNA